UUUGAGAUAUUACUAAUGGUAUUUGUGACCAGCACAAACAUAUCAAUGAAAUUAAAAUAACUUCCUCUUUCAUAACGGGUAGUCGGUGUGCAGUUUUUUUUUUUAUUCCAACUACUGUUGUAUUUCAACACUUAUAAACAACACAAUUUAAAAUAAAGAGACCCGCUCUUAAAGUACUAUAUGCAUAUCGAAAUUCUUGUUCCCUUUUACAUGAUGGUGUUGCAACUUUUCACAUAAAAUUCGAAAAAUUAAAGCUACGAAAUAACUUCGUCCCAGUCUUGCACCCGUAAACAAAUAUAAUUCAUGCUACAUCCGGUUUGAAUU
rnacentral:lncRNA from 1 species